GCCCGGCUAGCUCAGUCGGUAGAGCUUGAGACUCUCAAUCUCAGGGUCGUGGGUUCGAGCCCCACGCUGGGCG